AGUGAAUGCAAGAAAAUUUCAAGAAGAGUAUGAAGACAAAGAAAGAAGCUAGAAAACUGUUUCAAUAUCAGCAGUCAGGCCACGCCAGGAAGGGAUGAUCAGAAGGAGACAAGAGAGAUCCAGCAAGUCAGAAGACAUCAUCAACAGCAUUAACCAACUGUGCAUCUCAAAACUGAGCUAUCAUACAGGGAGCUGACUUCAUAGAUGACUGCACAAGUUAAAGGUGCUUCUUUGCCUCCUGUUGAUACAUUAGUGGGAUCUGCUCAUCAAAUGUAGGAUUCCCAGGUUGCCAAUUUGAAAGAUGCUCUUACUCUUCUUUGGAAAUGAUCAGUUUUGGAAAAAUGUGUUGUUUUAUUUAAUCACACAUAUUUUUCAUGUAAAAAUAGUUUAGACUCCUUCAAAUAGUGUUUUUAAUUUCUUUCUGUAACCAUUUCCAUAUAGACACAGGCCUGGACAAUCAAGUAGAAAGAAUUUCUGUAAUAUACACAUCAUAGUCACAGCACCAACCACCCUUCAACUAUAAUAUUUCCUUAAAGACAUCAUUUAAACCUAACCCAAUCACUAAUAUAUUUAGGCUAGAGUUCUUAGCAACUAAAUGAAGCAUUACAUAAGAUAGGAACCUAACACUAUAUGAUUAGAAAUUGUAUCAUGUUGUCCUUGCAAGGCCAGAUUUUGUGCUGAAUAGAAAAGUGAGCCCAAUUUUAGAAACCAUCUAUCAAGAUUGAAAUAGCCUAAUCCUUCAUGCUUCAUUUUACCACCUGUUCUGUUACCAAUGAUGACAUGGAUCACAAAGACAGUAGCCUGAUGGAUAUCCAUUUACUUUCAAGAAGUUUUAGAAAUUCUUGGAUAAUUUUUCAAAAGGGCCAGGCCUGGUGGUAUACAUUUAAAAUCCCACUUAG
rnacentral:lncRNA from 1 species